ACGAUCGGAACGAAAGCUCUCUCUACUUUACAAUCUCUCGUUCUCCUUCUCCCGGCCUCUGACUUUUCUCAUUGUUACUUUUUUUAGUUUUACUCUUUUUUGGUUUGUCUGUGUGGCUAUUUUGUGGUUCUUUGAUUCUUUUUUUAGGUUUUUCUAUCCGUGAUGGAUUCCCCGCCAGGUACUCCGAUUUCAUCACUCUCUCAUACGGUGGCCACUCCGUCACUUCCGUCGGCACCGAAAAAGAAACCCCAACAGUCUAUGGCAAGGUUUAUUCAGCACUCUUUAGAUGAUAUUACCGAAAUGGUUCAGGAAAUUAUUCUAAGGCCUGAGUACAGCCAAGAAGCAUUGAAUUCUGAGAGAGAAAGAAAAAUGCGCAUUUUGAUGUCACUGCGAUAGUCAUUCAUUGCUUGCGUGAGUAUGAUUCUUGUGUUGGUUGGUAACUUGGUAUGAUUCUCUGUUCCUUUAUUCCUUUCAAUUUAUAUUUGGUAAGAAUCUAAGUGUAUAGAUUUAUAUACGUUUUUAUGCCAAAAUAUAAAAUAUGCCUUCGAUCGAUCUUGAUUUUUAUGCUAAAGAAAGUACCUAUUUUAUAUUAUGAAUCUAUGAUGAAUGAUGAUACUUCUAUAGACGGAUAUGUGUUAGGUAACAAUUUAUGUGUUUCAAUUGUUUAUGAUUCUCAUUCUAAAAUCUAUAAUAAAUCUCCUAAUGUUAGUCCUCUUUAUCUUUUUAUCUUAAUAUUGUUCAUGUUCUGUCAAUGCCCCUCUUGUAACUAUUCGAAUAUUUGAGCACUCACUACCAACAUGUUCUAAUACCCUCUCAUUCACUAUCUAAGGUAUGUUCUUUUCUUUUCCAAAACUAUUUUGAAUCUAUUACUAACUUGAUCGUUGGAGUCUUUGCAAGUACCACACCCAUUGCUCAUGAGCAGGAACAAUUUUGCCAACAACAAUUGGUCAAUCUAAUCUACUUCAUAUUUGGACAAUCAUUCUAGAAAUGAACAUGUAAGUAGUAUCUUAAUUACUGCAUCUCUUCUAUGUGGAAAAAGGUGAGAAAUUUCUGUGAUUCAAUCGUUUAUGACUCUCAUUCUAGAAUCUAUCAAUCUCUUAAAAUUAGUCCUCUUUUUCUUUUAUCUUGAUAUUGUUUAUGUUCUGUCAUGCCCCCUUCUUGUAACAAUUUAUAUCUGCAUAAUGGAUCACACAUUUUAUUGCUCUUAUCUGCUGUCGGUCGCAUGUCCCUGUCCUUCUCAACCUCCAAGUGUCGUUUGUCUGCUCGAUGUUGAAAUCGGCCUACAUUCAAGAGAUGUAAGCAUACAUGCAGUAUAUUCCACCACAAGCCUUUCUAGAUCAUAACUCCAAAUCCUAUGAUUGAGUAUUUCUUUUCAACACUUGUUAGGAUUAGGCAAUAGUAUAUAAUUGAACCAAGAGAUCUAUGUUCAACAUAUGUCCAGUGCUUCCUCUGCUUACAUCAAGUCACCAUUUUACUUCCUUGGUUCACAAUAUAUCUGGAUUGAUGUGCAACUUUGAAGUUCUAGGAUGUCAGAUUAUUUCCUUUCUUUGUAGUGUUACAAUAUUGUUUUAUUUGGCCUAUUGUUUUUAUCUUGACCUUAAUUUGUAUAAACUUCAGUUUCCAUGACAUUGUUAUGUUUAUUUUCCUUCCUGGGUUGUUAA